UACGUAGGGUGCAAGCGUUGUCCGGAAUUAUUGGGCGUAAAGAGCUCGUAGGCGGUUCGUCGCGUCGGCUGUGAAAUCCCGAGGCUCAACCUCGGGUCUGCAGUCGAUACGGGCGGACUGGAGUUCGGCAGGGGAGACUGGAAUUCCUGGUGUAGCGGUGAAAUGCGCAGAUAUCAGGAGAAACACCGGUGGCGAAGGCGGGUCUCUGGGCCACUACUGACGCUGAGAAGCGAAAGCAUGGGGAGCGAACAGG
rnacentral:rRNA from 1 species